CACGUAGGAUGCAAGCGUUGUCCGGAAUUAUUGGGCGUAAAGAGCGCGCAGGCGGUCUAUCAAGUCAGAUGUGAAAUAUCCCGGCUUAACCGGGAGGGGUCAUUUGAAACUGGUAGACUAGAGUACAGCAGAGGAUAGCGGAAUUCCCGGUGUAGUGGUGAAAUGCGUAGAUAUCGGGAGGAACACCAGUGGCGAAGGCGGCUAUCUGGGCUGAAACUGACGCUGAGGCGCGAAGGCUAGGGGAGCAAACAGG
rnacentral:rRNA from 1 species